UGGUCCCCCUCCUCUGUCCUCCCUCCCCUUCUCGACUGUUGGGCUCCUUCUCUCCACUCCCAGUUGCACAGAGUCGAGCUGCGUUAUUUAAUAAUCCUCCUGCUCCUCCUGCCUGCGCCAGCAGAGCUGCUCUGCCUGAGCCACCUCUUCCCAGUCAGUCAUGUUGUUGAGAGAGGCGGAUUGGCAGUCGAUCGGCGACUAUUUGUGCCCAUCCUUGUAUAUGUCGAGUCCAAGUGCAUUGGCAGCUCAAGGACUAGAGACUAGUAGGACUCUGAAGAGAAACGAAGCAGGGAUGCUGGAAAUGCACUGUAUCUGUUUUUCUCCAAGACACUGAUGUUGUCUUCUCUCCCUUCCACCUCUAAGGGAGGAAAUUAUGAGGUACUUUUUCCUUUUUUUUUUCUUGUCAGCCGCCCCAUUCAUAUUCUGACAAGUCUUUUCCUAACACAGUAACAAGAAAAGAAACCUGACUUCUUUCCUUUAAGCAGGUCACGCCUCCCAGGAACCAUUUGCAGCAAUCAAUUCUUCUGUAAGAUAAUGGAAGCACUGCAACUAUGACUGAGUGGGACUUGUGUUCCUAUAUGUAAGGUCCUCAACAAUACAGGCAUUUUGAACAGAACUAGCUACGAUUUGACAUCAUUUGACUGAUAGCCCCCUAGAGAAAAUUUGCCAGUUUAGAGAUGGAGAAGACUUCUGAUGCAUGAUGAUUUUGCUUACCUAAUUUAUUUUUCCUUGGUCUUUUUUCUUCUUGCACUGCCUCAUUUCCUUCAGGUUUGCAUUGGGCCUGGAACUCUUUCCCCUCCAUGCCCUUCUUGAGCUCCACUCCUACAUAUUUUGCCUUUAGUAGCUACUACAGCAAAUAUAGUGCAUAUUGUAUGUGUGUGUGUGUGUGUGUUUAUGUAAGAACCAUUAUUGUUAACCCAUUGUGAUGGAAUGUAAUACCACUUUUAGGUAGGUAAUACAUCCUGAUAUUAAGUAAUGUUGAGUUUGUUCACCUGUCCUCUCCUCUCUAGCCCCUUAUUUAUUUCCUGCACAUAUUGCAAGAUCUUUGUCAUCUGAUGUACUUCUAUAUUGGAAAACAGGAAACAUGCAAUCUACACUUCUUUCAAGUGUGUGUGUGUGUGUGUGUGUUUUCUGUAGAGUCUAGCCACAGUCUGACUUUUAAAAUGUGCCUAUAUUGGGAGUAAAAGCAAUGUGUACUUUUUGUGUGAAUCUUAGUGAUUAAUGUGUACUUUGGCAUUGGAAACAACCCAGUUCUGAGGUAACAACUUUGGGAUUUUUUUUAAAUAUGUGACAAAAGAAAACAUUUAAGAAUAUAGGGAGUCAGUGGCAAGGUUGACAAUUCAUGUUUCAAAUCUUCUUCUGUGGGUGAUGACCAUUGCUAUAUCUACAGUAUUUCAUCAUAUGCCAACCCUUUAUGUAUUCUCCAUAUACUUUACCUUUUUCACAUUGACAUUGCUACCUCCAGUUCUUCCAUGUCUCAUACAAUGAGUUUAGAGUUCUUUUAAAACGGCUUAAGCAUACAAGCAAGAUUAAUAGAGAUAUUAAUAGGCGUGUGUAAAAAACAGAGAUAUUGUAAAGAAAGGGCAACAAAGUAGAUGGAUAAGGACAAGUGCAGAAAUAUCAAAUAUAUAUAAGUAUGAAAUAUUGUAACUUCUUUGAUUAAGCAUUAUAAAAUGGAUAUGUACUAACACAGGAUGUUGACACUUAAUGUGCACCCUAUGAAACAGCUAUUGAUAUUUCCUCAAUUGGACAGGUCAGGAUUUGGGUGGUAAGUAGUUAACAGGAGAUCAAACAAACACCAAGUGAUGCAGCUAUAGCUCUGUUUAACUCUACUGUCCACAUGGCUUCCCAUUCAAAACUCCUAGAUCAGUUAAAAAUCUUAAAAGAGUUUCCUUUGAGCUUUUGAUAAUCAUGAAAUCAGCUGGUCUGUAAUCUUCGGACAUUUUCCUUCUACAUCCCUCCUUUUAUAUUGCAAGAGAAGUUUAUAAAAUAUACAUUUUUUAAAUGUAGGCAAGAAUUUAUAAAGUCUUAACAUACUUGGACUCAAAGAUGGAGUUAGAAAACUUCCCCACAGGCUUUAAUGAAAGAAAUUGUCAUUGCAAAGGGAAUUUUGCAGAAGAGUUAUUUCUGAACACUUGCAUCUAGUUAAUGAAUAUGUGAUUUAUUAGGGGCUGCAAGUAGACAUUUUUAAAAGUUCUGUUCCCCCUUGAAUAGCAAUGCUUAAUCAUAUUGGGUAAAAUUUUGGUAGUUUUAUUGUCCUGAUUCUCUAUUUAAUUGUCACCUAUAAUGAUAAUUUGAUUAUGAUCUAUAAUGAAUACUUCAAAAUUAUAUAUUAGAUCAGAUAUUUCAAGGGCAUUUUUGGUAACUGCAACUGAUUGUAAUUUUCACACUCUCAAAUUGAAUUUAUAAUUAGUGAGAACCAUGACAAUCUGUCAAUUGCCUUUUUCAUUAAGGUAUUGAAUAAAACUAACAUUUCUUGCUUA